GAUGAACGCUGGCGGCGUGCCUAAUACAUGCAAGUCGAGCGAACAGACGAGGAGCUUGCUCCUCUGACGUUAGCGGCGGACGGGUGAGUAACACGUGGAUAACCUACCUAUAAGACUGGGAUCACUUCGGGAAACCGGAGCUAAUACCGGAUAAUAUAUUGAACCGCAUGGUUCAAUAGUGAAAGACGGUUUUGCUGUCACUUAUAGAUGGAUCCGCGCCGCAUUAGCUAGUUGGUAAGGUAACGGCUUACCAAGGCAACGAUGCGUAGCCGACCUGAGAGGGUGAUCGGCCACACUGGAGCGGAGACACGGACCAGACGCCUACGGGAGGCAGCAGAAGGGAAUCUUCCGCAAUGGGCGAAAGCCUGACGGAGCAACGCCGCGUGAGUGAUGAAGGUCUUCGGAGCGUAAAACUCUGUUAUUAGGGAAGAACAAAUGUGUAAGUAACUAUGCACGGCGUGACGGUAACUAAUCAGAAAGCCACGGCUAACUACGUG
rnacentral:rRNA from 1 species